rnacentral:rRNA from 1 species
UACGUAGGUGGCAAGCGUUGUCCGGAUUUACUGGGCGUAAAGAGCGCGCAGGCGGUCGUUCAAGUCGCGUGUGAAAGCCCCCGGCUCAACUGGGGAGGGUCACGCGAUACUGAUCGACUGGAAGGCAGGAGAGGGUAGUGGAAUUCCCGGUGUAGUGGUGAAAUGCGUAGAUAUCGGGAGGAACACCAGUGGCGAAGGCGGCGACCUGGCCAAUCACUGACACUGAGACGCGAAAGCGUGGGGAGCAAACAGG